AGAUUAAGUUAUUAAGGGCGCACGGUGGAUGCCUUGGCACUAGAAGCCGAUGAAGGACGUUACUAACGACGAUAUGCUUUGGGGAGCUGUAAGUAAGCUUUGAUCCAGAGAUUUCCGAAUGGGGAAACCCAGCAUGAGUUAUGUCAUGUUAUCGAUAUGUGAAUACAUAGCAUAUCAGAAGGCACACCCGGAGAACUGAAACAUCUUAGUACCCGGAGGAAGAGAAAGAAAAUUCGAUUCCCUUAGUAGCGGCGAGCGAAACGGGAAGAGCCCAAACCAACAAGCUUGCUUGUUGGGGUUGUAGGACACUCUAUACGGAGUUACAAAGGACGACAUUAGACGAAUCAUCUGGAAAGAUGAAUCAAAGAAGGUAAUAAUCCUGUAGUCGAAAAUGUUGUCUCUCUUGAGUGGAUCCUGAGUACGACGGAGCACGUGAAAUUCCGUCGGAAUCUGGGAGGACCAUCUCCUAAGGCUAAAUACUCUCUAGUGACCGAUAGUGAACCAGUACCGUGAGGGAAAGGUGAAAAGCACCCCGGAAGGGGAGUGAAACAGAACCUGAAACCGUGUGCUUACAAGUAGUCAGAGCCCGUUAAUGGGUGAUGGCGUGCCUUUUGUAGAAUGAACCGGCGAGUUACGAUUUGAUGCAAGGUUAAGCAGUAAAUGUGGAGCCGUAGCGAAAGCGAGUCUGAAUAGGGCGUUUAGUAUUUGGUCGUAGACCCGAAACCAGGUGAUCUACCCUUGGUCAGGUUGAAGUUCAGGUAACACUGAAUGGAGGACCGAACCGACUUACGUUGAAAAGUGAGCGGAUGAACUGAGGGUAGCGGAGAAAUUCCAAUCGAACCUGGAGAUAGCUGGUUCUCUCCGAAAUAGCUUUAGGGCUAGCCUCAAGUGAUGAUUAUUGGAGGUAGAGCACUGUUUGGACGAGGGGCCCCUCUCGGGUUACCGAAUUCAGACAAACUCCGAAUGCCAAUUAAUUUAACUUGGGAGUCAGAACAUGGGUGAUAAGGUCCGUGUUCGAAAGGGAAACAGCCCAGACCACCAGCUAAGGUCCCAAAAUAUAUGUUAAGUGGAAAAGGAUGUGGCGUUGCCCAGACAACUAGGAUGUUGGCUUAGAAGCAGCCAUCAUUUAAAGAGUGCGUAAUAGCUCACUAGUCGAGUGACACUGCGCCGAAAAUGUACCGGGGCUAAACAUAUUACCGAAGCUGUGGAUUGUCCUUUGGACAAUGGUAGGAGAGCGUUCUAAGGGCGUUGAAGCAUGAUCGUAAGGACAUGUGGAGCGCUUAGAAGUGAGAAUGCCGGUGUGAGUAGCGAAAGACGGGUGAGAAUCCCGUCCACCGAUUGACUAAGGUUUCCAGAGGAAGGCUCGUCCGCUCUGGGUUAGUCGGGUCCUAAGCUGAGGCCGACAGGCGUAGGCGAUGGAUAACAGGUUGAUAUUCCUGUACCACCUAUAAUCGUUUUAAUCGAUGGGGGACGCAGUAGGAUAGGCGAAGCGUGCGAUUGGAUUGCACGUCUAAGCAGUAAGGCUGAGUAUUAGGCAAAUCCGGUACUCAUUAAGGCUGAGCUGUGAUGGGGAGAAGACAUUGUGUCUUCGAGUCGUUGAUUUCACACUGCCGAGAAAAGCCUCUAGAUAGAAAAUAGGUGCCCGUACCGCAAACCGACACAGGUAGUCAAGAUGAGAAUUCUAAGGUGAGCGAGCGAACUCUCGUUAAGGAACUCGGCAAAAUGACCCCGUAACUUCGGGAGAAGGGGUGCUCUUUAGGGUUAACGCCCAGAAGAGCCGCAGUGAAUAGGCCCAAGCGACUGUUUAUCAAAAACACAGGUCUCUGCUAAACCGUAAGGUGAUGUAUAGGGGCUGACGCCUGCCCGGUGCUGGAAGGUUAAGAGGAGUGGUUAGCUUCUGCGAAGCUACGAAUCGAAGCCCCAGUAAACGGCGGCCGUAACUAUAACGGUCCUAAGGUAGCGAAAUUCCUUGUCGGGUAAGUUCCGACCCGCACGAAAGGCGUAACGAUUUGGGCACUGUCUCAACGAGAGACUCGGUGAAAUCAUAGUACCUGUGAAGAUGCAGGUUACCCGCGACAGGACGGAAAGACCCCGUGGAGCUUUACUGUAGCCUGAUAUUGAAAUUCGGCACAGCUUGUACAGGAUAGGUAGGAGCCUUUGAAACGUGAGCGCUAGCUUACGUGGAGGCGCUGGUGGGAUACUACCCUAGCUGUGUUGGCUUUCUAACCCGCACCACUUAUCGUGGUGGGAGACAGUGUCAGGCGGGCAGUUUGACUGGGGCGGUCGCCUCCUAAAAGGUAACGGAGGCGCUCAAAGGUUCCCUCAGAAUGGUUGGAAAUCAUUCAUAGAGUGUAAAGGCAUAAGGGAGCUUGACUGCGAGACCUACAAGUCGAGCAGGGUCGAAAGACGGACUUAGUGAUCCGGUGGUUCCGCAUGGAAGGGCCAUCGCUCAACGGAUAAAAGCUACCCCGGGGAUAACAGGCUUAUCUCCCCCAAGAGUUCACAUCGACGGGGAGGUUUGGCACCUCGAUGUCGGCUCAUCGCAUCCUGGGGCUGUAGUCGGUCCCAAGGGUUGGGCUGUUCGCCCAUUAAAGCGGUACGCGAGCUGGGUUCAGAACGUCGUGAGACAGUUCGGUCCCUAUCCGUCGUGGGCGUAGGAAAUUUGAGAGGAGCUGUCCUUAGUACGAGAGGACCGGGAUGGACAUACCUCUGGUGUACCAGUUGUCGUGCCAACGGCAUAGCUGGGUAGCUAUGUGUGGACGGGAUAAGUGCUGAAAGCAUCUAAGCAUGAAGCCCCCCUCAAGAUGAGAUUUCCCAACUUCGGUUAUAAGAUCCCUCAAAGAUGAUGAGGUUAAUAGGUUCGAGGUGGAAGCAUGGUGACAUGUGGAGCUGACGAAUACUAAUCGAUCGAAGACUUAAUCAAAUU
rnacentral:rRNA from 2 species